rnacentral:tRNA from 1 species
AAGGUCUUAGCCUAAUUAAGGCGUCUGAGUUGCAUUCAGGAGAUGCAGGGUAAUGUCCUGCGGAUCUUA